UAUCAAAAUACAAUUCUUUCUUUUUUUUUUUUGUUUCAUUAAAGAACGUCUCUCAUUUUUAAAGAGCAGCGCAAUCAGAUAGACACAGGCUAACUGUCAAUGAGCAAUUUAUUUGGCGAAUAGCUGGGAAAUCUAUAUGAAGGUGCAAACUGUUGCUUGAUCGAUCUAGGGUUGAUAUACUGCUGUAUGUGUCUAUUAAAGUAAAGCUUUUCUGCAUUAUACAGGAAGUUUAUUAUCUGCCGGCUCGGUCAAUGUUACAUGCCGACGGUAUGUACGAUGAUACUGUGCUGUACUCUUGAUUCUGUUUGGGGAGUUGUUCUUUCAGCACCAAGAAAGCGUGCUUGGAGAAGUCAUUAGUUUUGUUUCUCAGUCCAAAAGAAAAAUCACCCAUCCAUAGACGAAGAUGGUUUGUGAUACACACUGAUUCUGACUGAAGAGAAGCCACUUCUCACAAAAAGCCUCCUGGGGGGAAAAAAAAAGUUGCCAUGGAAACCACAACAGAAGAAAAACAACAAAACUGGCACUCUGUAUUGACUCACAUACAAACCUUAUUUUAAAUUGUGUUCAAGUUGUCAAAGUUGUUACUAUUUUAAAUACAAUUCUUUAUGCAGUUCA